rnacentral:misc_RNA from 1 species
UUUAACCGACUUCUAAAAAAGGAGGAGGUUCUCAAUUCGACUGUAUUUUUUUUUUUUUUUUUUUUUUUUUUUAUGUAUGUUACAUCAGAACUUUUGACCGGGUAGACCGAUUUCGACAAAUUUUAUUUUAAUCGAAAGGUGGUGUGUGCCAAUUGAUCCCAUUUAAAUUUAUUUGAGAUCUAACAACUACUUUCCGAGCUAUAUCUAAUAAUGCGUUUUUACUUGACGCUUUUUUCGUCGUCCUACGUUGUAUUAUACCGCAUAACUUUCUACUGGAUGUACCGAUGUUGAUAAUUCUUUUUUUGUUGGAAAGGAGAUAUCCCAAGUUUAGUACCAUGAUAAGGAAACCAGGAUCUGAUGAUGGGAUCCCAGAGAAAUUGAUGGAAA